rfam:Flaviramulus basaltis strain DSM 18180 genome assembly, contig: Ga0104527_102
AUAGCGAAAGCCGAAAAGCUAAAGAGUAGGCA